GUAUCAGGGCUCCUGCUGCCUGACCAAACACGCUGAUAAGCGACGCCUCGUCUUCAGAUACGACCUCUGGCUGAGAAGAGAGGGGGGGCUGAGCGGAGGGCGUCCGGAAGAACUCACACUUCUGUUUGUCCUCCCAGGAUUUAAGGGUGCUCUCAAACGCCUGAAAGAUGCAAAGACACACAGAUGGUGAAGCUCUGGUAGAGUAACGGUACGACUGGUUGCUUGUGGUGCCAAAUUGCGCUUAACAAGAUAUUUGUCAGCUUUUGUGAGUCAAUCUUUACGUAUAGUCGACUGCACACAGGGCUCAAGGACACACACUCGUCUCACAGCUUGAACCCUCCUGGGUACAUUUCCAAUCAUAAAGUAUUGUAUAUGCUACCAAUCAAUUAAAGGCCACCACACAUAGUUCUCAAAGUAAAUGCUUGUGUAUUAACAAUUAAUGGGCAUACAAUAUAAUACACAGUCAUUCCGGUUUGGGGGGCUGAGCCGGGAAAGGAACAAAAUAAUUGUCCAGCACAAAAAGAGUCUCACUGCUUUACUGUAGUGUCAAAAGUUAUGGACUGUUCAGUCUAGUAAAUCCAGUCCGACCAUUACUUUACCACGGAAGCUUUCUCCGCGUCUGAAUACGCUCCAGGAUCUCGUCCUGGCAACUUUCCGCGCUCAACAACCGGAUCGCUCGUAACGCAGACUUUAGUUCGCCCACAUUCCCCUUUUGUCACCCUUUCAGUUGUACUGUGUCUCUGGUGAGGGUCUGGUACUCACCCGGUCUCUGGUGAGGGUCUGGGGUAGUACUCUGUCACUGGUGAUGGUCUAGUACUCACCCGGUCUCUGGUGAGGGUCUGGGGUAGUACUCUGUCACUGGUGAUGGUCUAGUACUCACCCGGUCUCUGGUGAGGGUCUGGGGUAGUACUCUGUCACUGGUGAUGGUCUAGUACUCACCCGGUCUCUGGUGAGGGUCUGGGUGCGGUUCUUGUGGAUGAUCUUGAUAUACCCUGGAGGCUGCACCCAGGCUUCCCCGUCCACCUGCACCGGGACGCCCUCAUCGCCCAGGAUUUUGAUCUUCA
ensembl:lncRNA